CUGGGAAUUUUGCGCAAUGGACGAAAGUCUGACGCAGCAACGCCGCGUGGGCGAGGAAGGCCUUCGGGUUGUAAAGCCCUUUUGAUGGGGACGAAACAAAUGACGGUACCCGUCGAAUAAGCAUCGGCUAACUCCGUGCCAGCAGCCGCGGUAAUACGGAGGAUGCAAGCGUUAUCCGGAUUCAUUGGGUUUAAAGGGUGCGCAGGCGGAAUGCUAAGUCAGUGGUGAAAUCUCCCGGCUUAACCGGGAAACUGCCAUUGAUACUGUCAUUCUUGAGUACAGUUGAAGUGGGCGGAAUGUGUCAUGUAGCGGUGAAAUGCUUAGAUAUGACACAGAACACCGAUAGCGAAGGCAGCUCACUAAGCUGUAACUGACGCUCAUGCACGAAAGCGUGGGGAUCAAACA
rnacentral:rRNA from 1 species